AUUGAACGCUGGCGGCAUGCUUUACACAUGCAAGUCGAACGGUAACAGGCCGCAAGGUGCUGACGAGUGGCGAACGGGUGAGUAAUGCAUCGGAACGUGCCCAGUCGUGGGGGAUAACUACUCGAAAGAGUAGCUAAUACCGCAUAUGAUCUAUGGAUGAAAGCGGGGGACCGUAAGGCCUCGCGCGAUUGGAGCGGCCGAUGUCAGAUUAGGUAGUUGGUGGGGUAAAGGCUCACCAAGCCAACGAUCUGUAGCUGGUCUGAGAGGACGACCAGCCACACUGGGACUGAGAUACGGCCCAGACUCCUACGGGAGGCAGCAGUGGGGAAUUUUGGACAAUGGGCGCAAGCCUGAUCCAGCAAUGCCGCGUGCAGGAAGAAGGCCUUCGGGUUGUAAACUGCUUUUGUACGGAACGAAACGGCUCUGGUUAAUACCCGGGGCUAAUGACGGUACCGUAAGAAUAAGCACCGGCUAACUACGUG
rnacentral:rRNA from 1 species